AGCUCCCACUAAACCUCCCGUGGUCUUCCCUCUAGUAUAGUAUAAAAGAUAGUAACAAGAGACCUAGAAGAGGAAAAGUCUAUUCGUUGGUGUGUAAAGAUAGUUCCUUAAGUAUAUAGAAUGCAAAGUAACGUAUACGACAAUAUCCGUACACGACAACGUCUUUUAAACAAAGACUCUGUGUGGCCAAUGAUAUUAAUGCACCACACCGCCCUACACCUCAUAUCUCUACGGCACCCAAUCUCCUACCGGCGCCCUAUUCGGCCUUUCCGACUCGGCUCCUCUUCCUCGUGAGUCGAUACCACAGACCACAUCCCUACCCUCAUCCUAGACGCACUCCUCCUCCCCCGCGUGUAGUACCGAAGCUUCCAGUGCGGAUCUGCCGCAGAUGGGGACAGUAGGUGGGCGUGACUAUUUCACGUACAAAGAGUCCUCUGUGUUUGACAUCAAUUAAGGCUUCCUCUUAUCGUUGAAAACGAAAACGAUCCACGUUAUAUAGAAACCACAAUAACUUAGAAAUUGGUUCUAUACCGACCUCCGACCUCGUCUGAUUAGGAUUAGCUUAACCAGUAGAGUGAAAUAUCCACCUCAUUAACCACUCUAAAAAGGACAGAGAACAUCAACAUAAAAUGAAAGGUCUUUUAGACGUACUACCAUGAGUUUUAAAUACUUACCAAAAUAACCGUACAGUGCAACACCUGGCUCUACUACAAGUCAUCUGAGGGAGUAGUGGAACGGUCACGAUACCUAGCGAGUGUCGAACUUAGACUUACACGAAGAAGGCCAGAUACGAGGGAGAGAAACCAAGUAACCGGAGGGUUUUGAUGAAACAUUUAACACCUACAGUUACAGUCAAGAAGACGACGUUUCAACCCCUUUCUUAACAUCACUUUUAGUUCAAAACAGGCUCGUGUGUUGUAGUCGCUGCACUACUACUUCGUUACCGUAACAGACCGAUAAGUAUGUUAAGAUAUCUUCUACGUUACCUGCAAGGUCGACGAGCUCAUUACUUUAUAUACCUCUGGCACGCACGGUUCCAUAACUUUCUGAUAUCAAUGUUGUUCGACGUUGUUUCCUUUCUCUUGACAUAGACUAACCAAACAAUCCUGUUUCUUUUUCUUUAGUUUCUUGUCCGAGACUUCUAAUCUCUUGAAUCGUUCCUGAAACGUCUGAUGAAUAUAGUCCAAUUUUCGUGAAGACUCUAAGUGGCGGGUCGAUUUCCUUCACAUACGAGUCGGUUAAGGUAUUCACCAGCGCUCGAGUUCUUUCGCCGAUAUCUAUAAGUGUUACGUUAACGAGUAGAACCGGUCAACUCACUUUUGUUUUUUACGUCCAUUAGGUUUUGUGUAGCCAUAUAGGUAAAUCCUCUCCUAGAUAAAGGUGCCGGAUACACGGAAGUCUUCUACGGCUAUGAUGGUCGAUGUCAUCGGAAGAGACUUAUAGUUGACUAAUGGAAACAGAACUCUUCUAGUGACGGUAUCAAGUAGACGGUCAGAAAGGUCUCGAAGAAGAUAGUGCAACUACCUGAAACUUGAAUUCGAUAGGGGCCGAUACAUACAAUCAUCGAUACCGUUAACGUACAUAUCUAAUUUGGUAGUCGAUGCAAGAUACAACGCACCGUUACGGUCAUCAGGGAGUUACAUUAUACGUCGGCGAAUAAUACAUAAAGGACGCUUGUAUACAAGUAAUAAUUAUUUGGAUGGUACGUAACAUUAUAUAUUGCGAUACAUACUUGUAGUAUAGAUUC
rnacentral:rRNA from 1 species